CCGCCGGGCUCCCGAAUAUAGUACACGCCCCCAGGUGUUCUCAGCUCUUUCCUUCCCCGGGCUCACCCUGCCGGGCUCCAGAAUAUAGUACAUUCCCCCAGGUGUUCUCAGCUCUUUCCUUCCCCGGGCUCACCCCGCUGGGCUCCAGAAUAUAGUACAUUCCCCCAGGUGUUCUCAGCUCUUUCCUUCCCCGGGCUCACCCUGCCGGGCUCCAGAAUAUAGUACAUUCCCCCAGGUGUUCUCAGCUCUUUCCUUCCCCGGGCUCACCCCGCUGGGCUCCAGAAUAUAGUACAUUCCCCCAGGUGUUCUCAGCUCUUUCCUUCCCCGGGCUCACCCUGCCGGGCUCCAGAAUAUAGUACAUUCCCCCAGGUGUUCUCAGCUCUUUCCUUCCCCGGGCUCACCCCGCUGGGCUCCAGAAUAUAGUACAUUCCCCCAGGUGUUCUCAGCUCUUUCCUUCCCCGGGCUCACCCUGCCGGGCUCCAGAAUAUAGUACAUUCCCCCAGGUGUUCUCAGCUCUUUCCUUCCCCGGGCUCACCCCGCCGGGCUCCAGAAUAUAGUACAUUCCCCCAGGUGUUCUCAGCUCUUUCCUUCCCAGGGCUCACCCCGCUGGGCUCCCAAAUAUAGUACACGCCCCCAGGUGUUCUCAGCUCUUUCCUUCCCCGGGCUCACCCCGCCGGGCUCCCGAAUAUAGUACAC